UACGUAGGGUGCGAGCGUUGUCCGGAAUUAUUGGGCGUAAAGAGCUCGUAGGCGGUCUGUCGCGUCGGUCGUGAAAACUUGGGGCUUAACCCUGAGCUUGCGGUCGAUACGGGCAUGACUGGAGUUCGGCAGGGGAGACUGGAAUUCCUGGUGUAGCGGUGAAAUGCGCAGAUAUCAGGAGGAACACCGGUGGCGAAGGCGGGUCUCUGGGCCGGUACUGACGCUGAGGCGCGAAAGCGUGGGGAGCAAACAGG
rnacentral:rRNA from 1 species